rnacentral:rRNA from 1 species
CCGAUGGCGGGGGAUAACUACUGGAAACGGUAGCUAAUACCGCAUAACGUCGCAAGACCAAAGAGGGGGACCUUGGGCCUCUUGCCAUCGGAUGUGCCCAGAUGGGAUUAGCUAGUAGGUGGGGUAACGGCUCACCUAGGCGACGAUCCCUAGCUGGUCUGAGAGGAUGACCAGCCACACUGGAACUGAGACACGGUCCAG